rnacentral:rRNA from 1 species
AUUGAACGCUGGCGGAAUGCUUUACACAUGAAGUCGAACGGCAGCACGGGUGCUUGCACCUGGUGGCGAGUGGCGAACGGGUGAGUAAUACAUCGGAACGUACCCAGUUGUGGGGGAUAACGAGUCGAAAGAUUCGCUAAUACCGCAUACGACCUGAGGGUGAAAGCGGGGGACCGUAAGGCCUCGCGCAAUUGGAGCGGCCGAUGUCUGAUUAGCUAGUUGGUGAGGUAAAGGCUCACCAAGGCGACGAUCAGUAGCUGGUCUGAGAGGAUGAUCAGCCACACUGGAACUGAGACACGGUCCAGACUCCUACGGGAGGCAGCAGUGGGGAAUUUUGGACAAUGGGGGAAACCCUGAUCCAGCCAUUCCGCGUGAGUGAAGAAGGCCUUCGGGUUGUAAAGCUCUUUCGGCAGGGAAGAAACGCUCUGGCUUAAUACGCCGGGGUAAUGACGGUACCUGAAGAAGAAGCACCGGCUAACUACGUGCCAGCCGCCGCGGUAA